GAGUUUGAUCCUGGCUCAGGAUGAACGCUGGCGGCGUGCCUAAUACAUGCAAGUCGAGCGAACGGACGAGAAGCUUGCUUCUCUGAUGUUAGCGGCGGACGGGUGAGUAACACGUGGAUAACCUACCUAUAAGACUGGGAUAACUUCGGGAAACCGGAGCUAAUACCGGAUAAUAUUUUGAACCGCAUGGUUCAAAAGUGAAAGACGGUCUUGCUGUCACUUAUAGAUGGAUCCGCGCUGCAUUAGCUAGUUGGUAAGGUAACGGCUUACCAAGGCAACGACGCAUAGCCGACCUGAGAGGGUGAUCGGCCACACUGGAACUGAGACACGGUCCAGACUCCUACGGGAGGCAGCAGUAGGGAAUCUUCCGCAAUGGGCGAAAGCCUGACGGAGCAACGCCGCGUGAGUGAUGAAGGUCUUCGGAUCGUAAAACUCUGUUAUUAGGGAAGAACAUAUGUGUAAGUAACUGUGCACAUCUUGACGGUACCUAAUCAGAAAGCCACGGCUAACUACGUG
rnacentral:rRNA from 1 species